rnacentral:rRNA from 1 species
UGCAGUCGAACGGUAACAUUUCUAGCUUGCUAGAAGAUGACGAGUGGCGGACGGGUGAGUAAUGCUUAGGAAUUUGCCUUUGUGAGGGGGAUAACAGUUGGAAACGACUGCUAAUACCGCAUGACGUCUUUGGACCAAAGGGGGCUUUUGCUCUCGCGCAAAGAGAAGCCUAAGUGAGAUUAGCUAGUUGGUGGGGUAAAGGCCUACCAAGGCGACGAUCUCUAGCUGUUCUGAGAGGAAGAUCAGCCACACUGGGACUGAGACACGGCCCAGACUCCUACGGGAGGCAGCAGUGGGGAAUAUUGCACAAUGGGGGGAACCCUGAUGCAGCCAUGCCGCGUGUGUGAAGAAGGCCUUCGGGUUGUAAAGCACUUUCAGUGGUGAGGAAAGGGUGAUGGUUAAUACCCAUCAUCUGUGACGUUAGCCACAGAAGAAGCACCGGCUAACUCCGCGCCAGCAGCCGCGGUAAUACGGAGGGUGCGAGCGUUAAUCGGAAUUACUGGGCGUAAAGCGCACGCAGGCGGUUUGUUAAGCGAGAUGUGAAAGCCCCGGGCUCAACCUGGGAGGGUCAUUUCGAACUGGCAGACUAGAGUUUUGGAGAGGGGAGUGGAAUUCCAGGUGUAGCGGUGAAAUGCGUAGAUAUCUGGAGGAGCAUCAGUGGCGAAGGCGACUCCCUGGUCAAAGACUGACGCUCAUGUGCGAAAGUGUGGGUAGCGAACAGGAUUAGAUACCCUGGUAGUCCACACUGUAAACGCUGUCUACUAGCUGUCUGUGUGAUUUAUCACGUGGGUAGCGCAGCUAACGCGCUAAGUAGACCGCCNGGGGNGUACGGCCGCANGGUUAAAACUCAAAUGAAUUGANNGGGGCCCGCACAAG